AACUGUAUUUUACCGUAGGGCAUGUUAUACAGUAUGUUGCUGUAUUUUGAUGUUGCAUUGUGGGAAAUGUAAUCUUUGUGCCAGUAAAAUACUGUAUUUUCUAUUUACUGUAAAAUUUACAGUUAAUUAAAAAUACUGUAUUUUAAUAGCAGGUGGUGCUAAUUUGUUUUUUGGGGAUUAACUCUCUGAUUAAGCUAUCUUAUACAAAUAAUGUAAUAUUAUUGUAUUUAUAUAUUGAUUUAAAAUGUAAAGUAAAAUUCAGAAGACUUAAACAAAGUCCUAAAAACAAUCAAACAACUAAAUUAGUGCAAGUAGAGCUGAUUUAUUUAUCAAAACACAAUAUAAUCAUCUUCAUUAAAGUGUUUUGUAUAUUCGAAUUAAUUUAUAAAUGUAAGUGUUUAAAAAUUAGAGAUAGGUUUUGCCGGUUGUUGAUGAGUGAUGAAUACCAGCUGUGAAUUUUCUCAACGCGUGUAAGCAGCCAUGACACAGGAAACUGAAAUAGUGUUCCAAUAUAAAGUGAGGGUCCUUGACAGUGGCCGAACCCGCAUACUACACGAUAUAAUGAUUCCCCACCUCGGGAGCUAUAGGGAACGAAUUGAGACACAGCCCUGGAUGUAAUCACGUCUGUGCUGAUCACGUGCCUGUACACAAACCCGCCGCAGCUCACUUGCAAAAGAUUAUCCUGUUAUUUAUUACACGUAUAGUAAACGUUUUUAAUGUUAUCAUGAAUCAAUGUUAUAGUUUUGUAUGUCACAUUAUUUUUUGAGAAGAGUCAUGACUCAACGCGGACCUUACACGCUGUUAAUUUGUGUGUGCAUAUGGCGGUAGGCUACAGGCUCUUUUGCACUCUAUGACCAGCCAUCAUUAAAUCGAAAUACAGUAAAAAAAAAUGAGCGCGAAACCCUGACACUUUACAGAAAGGCACGGAUAUCCCCGCCCGAAGAAAAAAAGAGCACAGGACAAUGGUUGCAAGUUAAACAGCUGAACAUUUCACCAUCUGCAAAGAACAUUUCACCAUCGACAUAUCAACAUAAACGGUCCUCUUUUUCGAGUUUGACUGCGUUUGGUACAGGUCACAACAACAACGGCAGAUGUAGAGACCACACUUUCCCUUGCUUCCACUCCACGGCUGAUCAUGCUUGGUCACAACAACAACGGCAGAUGUAGAGACCACGCUUUCCCUUGCUUCCAUUCCACGGCUGAUCAUGCUUGAGGAUCCAGAUCUACAAAACAAAAAAUGGAUGCUGCCGAUUGAAGGCUAAGUCCGCUUUCCUGCGAUUGACCUACCAUUUCUUCAGCAUUUGCUGUUCACUUUGGUUGCUACUACGUGCUCAACAUCGAGUACCAAGUGGAAGCAGCCACUACUUUGGAGUUUAUUCAGAGAUUUAUUGUGAGGAUCAGCCCCGACAACAGCAAGUGCUCCUCUAACUUCCAGGUGAGCAGAAGAAGUGGGAAGAUGGUGCAAAGGAGGAACUCUGGCCUGAACCAUCAUGUAUAUAUCCACCUUUAUUAAGGACUUUAUGAAUUAAGCAAAACUAUUAAGCAACUAAAGCAAAUACAUUCUACUCAACUCACCAGAGGUUUGUGAAGUUCUUUUUUUAUCUUGAAGGUUUCUUUUAGUUAAUUUGUCCAUGCACUGAUUUAUAAUAUUGUAAUAUGAAACUCCAGUGUAUACAUGUUACUACUGUUGCUUCUAAAAGCAAAAUAAGUCUAUGCAGGAGAGGUUUUGUUACGUUUUUUUUUUUUAAUUAUUCUUAUAGACGGUUUCAUCGGACGCACAUGACACGCGUCUGGAUCCGAACCUUACUUCCGGUUUCGCUUUUUUAAUGGUCUGACUAGUUGCUAAACUGAUUUCUUGAACAAAAGCCUCGUCGAAAAUAACAUGUUUUGGUUUCCGAGCUAAUCUAUGUGUUGUUUUUUUGCUUGUUAUAUAAAUAAAAUGCGUUUAAAGAACUUUGUUGUUUUUUAUUCUUAGCGGAGUUUAUCGGAAGUUCAUGCGGACCGCGACAGCCGCUUGUUUAUGUUGUUACUGAUGAAACCGUCUAUAGUUAAAACUGAAUUUGUACUAGUAUUAUUUGAUAAUACUGUGAAAUGAAACAGUGAGUAAAUGUUACAUUGGCUUUGAAAAAGCUGUUGCUGCAAGAAAUUACAAUUUACUCAGAAUAAUAUUUUCAAUGUAUAAGUUUUUGACAUUGCUUAUGACUGCAUUUUAAUGUAUUGUUCAUGAAUUGAUGCUGUGAUAUGUGUGUGUAAAUGUUUUGUGUGUUACAGGAUAAAAGAUUUUAUUUUACUCAGGAAAGUAUUUUGUAUUUGAACAUUGUUAUUAUGACUGAGUUAGUUCAUGACUUGAUUUAAAAUUCUGUAAUAUGAUAUCUAUGAGUAAAUGUUAUUGCAGGUUUAAGAAAAACAGUUUGUGAUGCAAGCUGAAAGUUCAGUGUGCAAAAAUAUGAAAAUCUGAUUUCAUGUUUUUGAAAAACUAAAUUAAAUUUUAAAAACA